UGGGGAAUAUUGGGCAAUGGGCGCAAGCCUGACCCAGCCAUGCCGCGUGAGUGAUGAAGGCCUUCGGGUCGUAAAGCUCUGUGGGGAGGGACGAACAGUCUUGGUGCUAAUACCACCAGGGCCUGACGGUACUUCCUUAGCAAGCACCGGCUAACUCCGUGCCAGCAGCCGCGGUAAUACGGAGGGUGCAAACGUUGCUCGGAAUCAUUGGGCGUAAAGCGCACGUAGGCGGUCUUUUAAGUCGGGUGUGAAAGCCCUGGGCUCAACCCAGGAAGUGCACUCGAAACUGAAAGGCUAGAGUACGGAAGAGGGUCUCGGAAUUCCCGGUGUAGAGGUGAAAUUCGUAGAUAUCGGGAGGAACACCAGUGGCGAAGGCGGAGACCUGGGCCGAUACUGACGCUGAGGUGCGAAAGCGUGGGGAGCAAACAGGAUUAGAUACCCCCGUAGUCC
rnacentral:rRNA from 1 species